rnacentral:lncRNA from 1 species
GCCCCGACGGCAUCAAGGAUCCCGCCACAGCUUGUGACUACAGCUCUGCCUUCUUGACCGGUAUCACCCCGCCUUGCUACUCCAAAAUUCUCGGGCAGAAUACCGUUACCGACGGCCCCCGUUAUUAAACCCCUGUUGUUGAAGGAAUUCUUCCUUGAGCCCCCUUUGAAACGACGGAGAUCCUCACCGGCCGCUGUUCUCCUCCUCGCCUUCCUCCAAGCCCUAGACAUCCCUUCGAGGAUGGCCUCCGGGGUAGAGGACAUGGCGUGGGAACCCCUUAGAGAAGAAUCGGGGGGCUGAAGAUGGCAAGGACCGGUGCGGAGGAAGUAGCUGAGUAGCUAGGCUCUCAGAUGAAAGAAAGGUGCCAUCCUCUCGGCAGAAUGAAACCCCGAAGGAAGAGUAGGGGGUUUAAAUAGCCAGCGGAUCUUAGCGCAGUUAUGGCAGCGGGUGUCCCUAGGCCAACUGAUGCAUGCCACGUGUCCCGCAUGUCCCCCUAACCGCUAUCGAGGAUUGACUGUCCACAAAUUUCCAUGGCGCGAUGCUUGGGGUCCCGUCUCAGUGGGAGUUCCGAAAAGACUCUUCCGGUCGCCAUAAUCGAAAAAAGGACUCUGGCGUGCGCGCAUUAAAUGCCAACAUAUCCAAGGACGAUUGCGCCCGGGCGUCAGGGGAAGAACUUCGGCCGCGCCAACUUCUCCGUACUCCCUUCAUUCGAAAUUCGAACUCGAAAGUAGGGGGACUGGUGUUGGGCAUAAAAUUUCCUCGGCCGAAGUUCUUGGCAGGGUCGACCCUCGCGAGGCUCCGUCCACGACUUCUGCCGCAAGGAAGACUCCUACGGGAGCCAGACUCCGUCCUCAACAUCAAUUGUCGGUAAGCUCUGUCCGGACUCCUACGG